rnacentral:tRNA from 7 species
CCAGGGGUACCCAAGCGGUCAACGGGGGCAGACUGUAAAUCUGCUGGCUUCGGCCUACGGGGGUUCGAGUCCCUCCCCCUGGA